AGAUUUUGGUAACCUUUUUGUGUACUUGUUUAUAGCUAGACUUUGAUUCUUCUGGUUUAGUUCACAGUUUUUUCAUUUUUAUUACUUCUUUUUUAGAAUAAGAAAAUUACAGGCAUUUUAAUAUCUAAUUCUAUUUUUCUAUUCAGUUAAUCCAAUCUAGUAUUUCCACUUCUUUGUAGUUUAUUUUCUUUUUUGCAGAUGUUAAUGAUGAUUUUCACACCGUUUCUGUUUAUACUCAUCACUGUAUAGGAACUUGUUUUCUUUGCCCAUGCUUGUUUACAUGCAAGGAUAAGAGGUUCUAUAUGAGAAAGCUUUAUCUUUAUGCAAGGAUAAGAGAUAGAAGGAGUACUUGAAGGAGUAUUCACCACAAUUCACAAUGUUCCUAGCAUUUCGUCCAACGAGUUUUUUUCAUCUACUUUAUUAUUAUUCAAUAUCCUAUUCAUUGGGUAAUAUUAUCUCUUUUUAUGUCUAGGAAGGACAUAUUCGGACACGACUGUAAACUAUUUGGAUCUAAUUAAACCCACAUCCAAAGGGAACAUCACAAUAUCACGAUAUCAUGCCUAAAGGGAAAACUCUGAAUAAAUCAAAAGGUAAGAAAAGGGUUGGAGUUGGAGUUGUUGACGAACCUCUAGAUGCAACAGUGUGGUAAGCAUGGCUUAGACCUACUACAUCACCUCCGCGAAGUCCACCUUUGAUGAACCCUUCGGAUGACUCACAAACUCCAUUAUCAGAGUUUCCAGAAACCCAAAAUCCACAUAAGGGGAAUGAAGCAAUUGAGGAUGCGAUCACCCAGGAUGCGGAAACAAGAAAACGUUCAAGAGGUCCAAAUAAAGUAAUGCCUACACCAACAAAUCCUAAUGAUCGAGUCCUUAUUAACACUUUACAUGAUCAGUAUGCUCAUUUGCAAUUCAUCUUAUUUUACACUAAAUCAAAUUUUUUAUUAAUAUAAACUAAUGUUUCUUUGCCUUCUUAUGAUAGGAAAUUAAUUGAACCUAAAAGUUGUUAGGACAAUUACAAAAUGCAUACAACUUCAUUUCAAUGAUGCACAACUAACAUGGAAAAAAACAACUAAUGGUAUCAAAGAGGACAUGUGGACAAAAUUUCAUGUGCGAGUUUGCUUUAAUUUCCUAUAUACCUUUAAACUUAUGUAGUACACAAUAUAUAUGUGUUUCAAAAAAAUGGAGUUUGUGAUGCGUUAUUUAUGGAUUAAUGACUCUUAUUGUCAACAAUUGCCUUAUUGAUAAACAUGAACCUCACCAUCAUAUCUCUUUGGAAAAAAACAAACAUGUUAUACACACACACACACACACACACACACACACACACACACACACAUAUUUGAUUUUUGUAUGAGAUUUACAUCAACGAUUUGUUCAUAGCAAAUGCAUUUAGUUUGUAUCAACAUUUUGUUAAAAAAAAGAAAUAUAUUGUCUUUGGUAGAUUAAUUGGUUAUGCAACACUUGUUUUUAUUUCUGAAGUAUGGCUAGCUUCUAUUUCUUGAAAAUAAUUUACUACUUUUAUAGUUUGAAUAUAUUAUCCUAUUCUUAUUUAUUGAGUGUGGUGUUGGCAACAUUUGGUUUAUAUAUUUUAUUAGAAACAAUUUGUAUGGCCCAUAGAAAAAACAAAUGUUGUACGAAAAAUAUGGGACACUGCAUGCAAAGAGCGAUUUAAAGGAAUGAUGGAAGAAGAAAGGAGUCAAGCAAAGAAGCAUUUUAGUGCAACACAAUUAAAUCGAAAGCCAAUAUAUGGAGAAGUGUUUAAUCACACACACAAGCGUGAGAAGGGUCAUGGGUCAUGGUGAUUAUGUUGAUAACAAGUCUAAAUCUGUGAGUGUAAGUAAAUUUGGUUUCAUAAUUAUAUUCUAAUUAUUA